AGGGGCGUGUGAGCAGAGGCUGGGCUCCGCCGGCUGGGCGGGGGGCAGCGCCCAGCGGGGUUGGGUCCCCGCGGCGCGCACGUGCCUCCCGGAGGGCGGGAGCGAGUGAGAGCGGCGGGGAUUCCGCUGCUGCCGCCCCGCCCUGCCCCGCCCUGCCCCGCCCUGCCCCGCCCUGCCCCGCGCUGCCCCGCAGCGCUUGGGGCGGGGAGGAGCCCCGACGGCCUGCGCUGGCCCCAGGGGCCGUGCCCCGCCCCCCCGUGUUGGUGCUCGGAGGCUGUUGGUGGAAGUGGCGGGGUCAGCGCGGGCUGGUGGGUGGAUCCAAGGGUGGAAGGACAGGGGUGUGCGUGUGUGUGUCAGCACUGCAAGGCCCAGCACGGCCAGGGCAGCGCCUCUAGAAGGCUGCUCCUGGGGCGCGGGUGCCAGGACACAUGGCAGCUGGCAGCUCGGACAGCUCCCUGGCAGAUGUCACUGCGUCCUGGCGGCUGGGAGGACAGCCUCUAGCAGUCUGCAGACAUUGCCUUCAGGCUGAAGUCAAGCGUGGGGAAGAGCAACCUGCAGGCAGCAAGCUGCCCUCAAGUUCAUGGAUCUGAGCAGAGCAGGACGUGCUGGCAAAGGGCCACCCUCUUAGGGCUCGUGAUGCCUACAGGUUCUAAGGAAGUGAUCUCGUGCCUGCUGUGCCCAGCCCACCAGCACCUCUCAGCUGCCAAGCUCCUCCAGACCUACCGGGUCUCUCAGUUCCUGCUCCCGGGGCUCCUGCCUUUGGACACCUAGGCCUCCAAGCACUUGACACCCACAUGCAGUGUUGGGGUCCCUUCAUCUUCAGGAGGCCACCAAUAAAAGCCUUGAACCCUG